GUCCGUGUCACAUCGAAUGUUUGACGCUAAUUUGGAGUAUUAAACAUAGACUAAUAAAAAAACUAAUUUCAUAAAUGAAAGCUAAUCUGCGAGACGAAUUUUUUAAGCCUAAUUAAUCCAUAAUUAUGAAAAGUUUACUGUAGCAUCACAUUGUCAAAUCAUGGUGUAAUUAGACUCAAAAGAUUCGUCUCGCGAAUUAGUCCAAGGUUAUAGAAUAGGUUUUAUAAUUAGUGUAUGUUUAAUACUCUAAAUUAGUGUAUAAACAUCCGAUGUGACAGGGAC
rnacentral:miRNA from 2 species